rnacentral:lncRNA from 1 species
GGCAGAGGAAGAUGGUUUACUACAAAGUUGAAGACAACUAGUUGUUGACUAUUUGCAUUCAUCUGUCUCUAGAAGUGUGGGUGCUGGAUGAAUCUCUGCUAUUGCCUACCUCUGCUUUGCUGCCAACUCUUUUGAAGCCUGACUCUGGUCCCACUGUUUCCUGUGGGGAAUGACAAAGUUUGAAGGCAUUUGAUGUAGCCAACAAGCUUGCUCUCAUUUUCUUCAAGUAAACAAAGCCAAGUGUCUGAGAGCCUUGCCCAGGAGGUGCAUUGUCAGGUAGUUUAAGAGGUAAUGAGGUUUGUGUGUGUUAAACCUCCUGCAGUAUGUGCUGUAGCAAUGAUCAGGAGCAGCUAGUCAGCUGAGUGUUAGGUGGUACCAGCCACAAAAGGAAGGACCUGACCCUGCAAGUUGGAGCUGAGUAGUGAGGGAAGAGCAAAGCUGUCUUUGUGUUCUGAAUUUUCAAGUCUGCAACAGCAGUUGCAAGAAAUAUUUUUAUCUUUAACUUGUCUGGCUCUCUCUUGGCAUUACUCUCUUGAUGUCCACUCUUGCUAACCAUUUGGUUAGCAAAAGGAUUGGGGAAACAACAGCACUGUGGAAAUUAAAGCUUUCCAUUCAUCCUUCACUCCAGCCAAACUACUCUGCAGAACAGUGGAUGUGGAGCAGCAUACUGGCAUUUUUUACAAAGCCUGUUGGCAUUUAAGUUUACCUCUACCCCACAAACCAGGCUCAAGUAAUCUGUUUUGUGGGGCAGAAUGGAAUGUAAGAGUUCAGUUACGAUGGAUCUAUUAAUACCACACCAUCUUACCUUCUUGUCAACUGUCCUGUAGAUGAUAGAGGUUAUGAGUCUCAUUUAUUUGUUCCACAUUGCUCCAUUUGAGCCCAGAACAGAAAGCAGUCAGUGUGUGUCAAGAUCAAGAAGUGGAGAAAUCAGAAAUUGUGCCAUUUCCCAGAUCCAGAUGAAAGCAUUGUCAGAGGCCAAGGUCAGUAAAACAUUUUUGGAGGCUUCAUCCCUUUUUUUCUACAUACAUAAAGAAAUUCUUAGGAGCCUCCCUGAAUGAAGCACUGCAUCAUCUGAAGGCACUGGUCUUGGACAGCAAUGUCUGACAAUGAAAAUGUGUGUUACAGCAAAUUUUGUCUUAAUUUAAGUGAAGGAUAGAUCCCUCAUGUUUGAAGAAGUAAAUCUAGUAAAACAUUCCAAAAUGAAUAACAUUGCAGUCACUCUUAGGUAUGGGCUUCCUUUUGGAUCCCCUCUCAUAGUCCAUUCUAGCACAGCCUUCCAAGAGACAGAGAAGAAGGUGUUCCCACCACAGUACUGAAGGGACUGCCAGGCAGCUGGGCAGCUCUAUGAAGUUACUUAAAAAUCCAUUGCAUAAACAACUAUAUAAGAAUUUUUAAAAAAACACAAACCUGUGGCUCAUAUAAUUUUACAACUCGGGUAUCAGGACAUGCAGGCUUAUGUUCAGAGAUCAGUGCAGGAUAAGUGGAAUCUAUCUGGAGAGUAAAGCCACCUUUUAGGCACAUGUAUCUGGGGAAUUGUUAAAAGGUCCUGGUUAAGCCUGGAAUUCAAAUUUUUCUUUGCAGAUAUUUUAAGCAAUGGAUGAAGGUUAGAUGUGUAUUCUCAGCCCUUCCUCUCAUUAAGGCAGACAGGUUUACUGCAUUUUGAAUUUGUGUCCAUCCCAGAAAGUAAACUUUUACUAGAUUUUCAAUUUAUCCCCAUUCCAGGGAUCAUGUGAUGUCUCUUCCAUUUUCAUCUCUUCUGGUGUAAGAGAUGUUGAGGAAAUAUUACAGAAUCAGAGUGGUUUGGGUUGGAAGGGAUCACAAUGAUCACGUUGUUUCAACACCCCUGCCAAGGACAGGGAGAGACACCUUUGAGCAGGUUGCUCAAAGCCCCAUCCAGCCU